AUUGAACGCUGGCGGCAGGCCUAACACAUGCAAGUCGAACGGUAACAGGAAGAAGCUUGCUUCUUUGCUGACGAGUGGCGGACGGGUGAGUAAUGUCUGGGAAACUGCCUGAUGGAGGGGGAUAACUACUGGAAACGGUAGCUAAUACCGCAUAACGUCGCAAGACCAAAGAGGGGGACCUUCGGGCCUCUUGCCAUCGGAUGUGCCCAGAUGGGAUUAGCUAGUAGGUGGGGUAACGGCUCACCUAGGCGACGAUCCCUAGCUGGUCUGAGAGGAUGACCAGCCACACUGGAACUGAGACACGGUCCAGACUCCUACGGGAGGCAGCAGUGGGGAAUAUUGCACCAAGGGCGCAAGCCUGAUGCAGCCAUGCCGCGUGUAUGAAGAAGGCCUUCGGGUUGUAAAGUACUUUCAGCGGGGAGGAAGGGAGUAAAGUUAAUACCUUUGCUCAUUGACGUUACCCGCAGAAGAAGCACCGGCUAACUCCGUG
rnacentral:rRNA from 1 species